AAAUUGAAGAGUUUGAUCAUGGCUCAGAUUGAACGCUGGCGGCAGGCCUAACACAUGCAAGUCGAACGGUAACAGAAAGCAGCUUGCUGCUUCGCUGACGAGUGGCGGACGGGUGAGUAAUGUCUGGGAAACUGCCUGAUGGAGGGGGAUAACUACUGGAAACGGUAGCU
rnacentral:rRNA from 1 species